CCUGGGCCCACGGGUGGGAGCAGGAGUAAACCUUCUGAUAGACACAGUCCAUUCAGGAAAGAGUGUUGUUUAGCUCCAUCUGGAGGGACAAAAAACAAGAACAUGGAGGGAGGGGGAGGCUGAGGGAAGGGGGCCGCACAACAGGUAGCCGAGGGGUGCAGGAGGGAGCCCCACCUGCUCUUUCAAGGAAAAUGAUUCUUCAUGAAGGAGAUGGUGACCAAGUACCUACAGGUGCCCAGCAGACGAGAGUGAGACUGUCUCAGAAGCAAAACAAAACAAAACAAAAACAAAAACAAAAGAAAACAAAAAAACUAUGCAAUUAAAUUAAGUGCACGAGGCAACUCCUUGGAAGCAGUGGGCAGCAGGCAGUGCAAGACUGCGAAAAGUGGUCAGCUAGUAAUUUAACUGCCUGAUAAAAUAAGAAACACUUUUUAGAGGAAGAUAACAAAGAGAUGAGUGCAGUCUAUAAGACUAAAGGCACAAGAAACUGUAC
rnacentral:lncRNA from 10 species